rnacentral:rRNA from 1 species
UACGGGGGGGGCAAGCGUUGUUCGGAAUUACUGGACGUAAAGGGCUCGUAGGUGGCCAACUAAGUCAGACGUGAAAUCCCUCGGCUUAACCGGGGAACUGCGUCUGAUACUGGAUGGCUUGAGUUUGGGAGAGGGACGCGGAAUUCCAGGUGUAGCGGUGAAAUGCGUAGAUAUCAGGAGGAACACCGGUGGCGAAGGCGGGUCUCUGGGCCGAUACUGACGCUGAGGAGCGAAAGCGUGGGGAGCGAACAGG